GACGAACGCUGGCGGCGUGCUUAACACAUGCAAGUCGAACGGAAAGGCCCUGCUUUUGUGGGGUGCUCGAGUGGCGAACGGGUGAGUAACACGUGAGUAACCUGCCCUUGACUUUGGGAUAACUUCAGGAAACUGGGGCUAAUACCGGAUAGGAGCUCCUGCUGCAUGGUGGGGGUUGGAAAGUUUCGGCGGUUGGGGAUGGACUCGCGGCUUAUCAGCUUGUUGGUGGGGUAGUGGCUUACCAAGGCUUUGACGGGUAGCCGGCCUGAGAGGGUGACCGGCCACAUUGGGACUGAGAUACGGCGCAGACUCCUACGGGAGGCAGCAGUGGGAAAUAUUGCACAAUGGGCGGAAGCCUGAUACAACAACGCCGCGUGCGGGAUAACGGCCUUCGAGUUGUAAACCACUUUCGCCUGUGACGAAGCGUGAGUGACGGUAAUGGGUAAAGAAGCACCGGCUAACUACGUG
rnacentral:rRNA from 1 species